GGACAAGAGUGCUGAAGAAGCCUCCCUGGGGGGAGUAGGACUGCAUGCUGGGCCUAGUGAGGCUGAAGGUUUAGUUGCCUUUUCUUUUGUUAUUUUAUACUGGACUUGGAGUUGUGGGGAAAAAAAGAAGGUAGGAAGAAGGAAAGGUAAUUCUGUGAGCUCUCCAGGAUACUGUUGAACCUCAUCGGGUGCUGGGUCAGACCCCAUUCAAAUGGGAGGGCCUAGGUUCCCCUAUCAAGUACCCUGCUGCAGAAGAUUCAUCAAGCACAUUCCAAUCUCAUGCCUCCUCUGAUAAGAAGACAAGAACAUUGAAACCCAAAGGGAAGCUAAGCCUAGCCUCAGAUAUAGGAAGAUGAGCAAAGACUGAGAUUUGAAGAAAUGGGACUUGAUGGAUCUGCAGUAAUUAAGGAGAGAAGAUGAAUAUAUGAACAAAGACUUGAGCAGAGAUGGAGUCGGGGCAGUGGCAUAUGUUGGCUUUAUUAUAGGCCGAUGUAGGAGGUUCAGAAUCAAGUAUAAUGCUAAUUUUACAGAGAACAGAGCCAAAUGGAAUAUCUCAGAGCCAGAGAACAAAGCAGACUGAAAUGCCUUUGAGUUUAAGGAAAGGUGGAUUUUUAUGAACUGACCAAAGAAUGGUUUCUGAAGAUGGGCUGCUUGAACUCAAGUGACGUUAAUAGGUUUCAACAGCACCUCCAUAGUGGCUUUAAACAAGUCACAGUGGUUCUUCUCUGAAGAAAUGGCUAAUGACUGCAGUUCUUAAUCCCCAAACUCCAACAGAAUUACUUUAUAAUGAGGCACAUAAAUUUACUAGACCUAUAAUCGAAAGAACCUUUGGUCUUCUAAGAAAUAAUACAGAUGCCUAGAGAAAUUAUAUAAAAUCACUCCUUGAAUGUUUGUGAAGGUUUUUUUCUGGGUGUUGCAUAUAACAAAAUGACACUGUCCGAUGUAUAAAUUUCUCAAGGAGAGAAUGAGAUCAAUGUAUCAAACCACAAAUAUAUGGUCAAAUAAUUAAAUGGAGUCCAUUUGUAGUAUGAAUUUUCUGUUAAUUUGUGUUAAUUUGUGAAUGGCAAGGAAAAUGCCUGGUGGAUUGGGCCCUUUUGUUGUUAGAGCAUAAUACCUGAUGUAUACAUUUUUCAUCUUUCAUUUGUACACUAUUUAUGAGUGUUCCUCUUUGGACUUAUUUGCUCAGGUUAUGUCAUUUCUGAACUCUAAAGCCAAGCGCUUUAUAAAACCAAUGCACUUGCAUUUGAUUUGCUGAAAUUUGAAGAAAAUAUCUUUUUUGAAUGAGAGAGAUGUCUUGACAAAUCAUGUGACAGGUUGCUAGCUAGGAGACAAAUUUAUUUCAUCUCUAGUGAUUAAAGUGCACAGAAAAUUUUUCAGGGAGACAAAGAUGUUUGAUUUCUUUCAUCUCCUCUUCCUUGUGUGGAGUGGGAAUUUACUGGGCUUCCCCUGAGGUGGAUGCCACGAAAUUCUUACAGGGCAGCAUAAGGGGGCUGCAAUGCUUGUAAGCAUGGCU